rnacentral:rRNA from 1 species
CCUACGGGGGGCAGCAGUGAGGAAUAUUGGUCAAUGGGCGAGAGCCUGAACCAGCCAAGUCGCGUGAAGGAUGACGGCCCUACGGGUUGUAAACUUCUUUUGUCAGGGAGCAAUUGAGUCCACGUGUGGGCUUAGCGAGAGUACCUGAAGAAAAAGCAUCGGCUAACUCCGUGCCAGCAGCCGCGGUAAUACGGAGGAUGCGAGCGUUAUCCGGAUUUAUUGGGUUUAAAGGGUGCGCAGGCGGAAUGUCAAGUCAGCGGUAAAAUUUCGGGGCUCAACCCCGUCGUGCCGUUGAAACUGGCGUU